UACGGGGGGGGCAAGCGUUGUUCGGAAUUACUGGGCGUAAAGGGCGCGUAGGCGGCCAUCUAAGUCAGACGUGAAAUCCCUCGGCUCAACCGAGGAACUGCGUCUGAUACUGGAAGGCUUGAAUCCGGGAGAGGGAUGUGGAAUUCCAGGUGUAGCGGUGAAAUGCGUAGAUAUCUGGAGGAACACCGGUGGCGAAGGCGGCAUCCUGGACCGGUAUUGACGCUGAGGCGCGAAAGCUAGGGGAGCAAACAGG
rnacentral:rRNA from 1 species